AGCGAACGCUGGCGGAAUGCUUAACACAUGCAAGUCGCACGCCCUGCAAGGGGAGUGGCGGACGGGUGAGUAACGCGUAGGAAUAUGUCCAGAGGUGGGGGACAAGCCUGGGAAACUGGGGCUAAUACCGCAUAUGGGCUGAGGCCCAAAGCAGUGAUGCGCCUUUGGAGUAGCAUGCGUCUGAUCAGCUUGUUGGUGGGGUAAAGGCUUACCAAGGCGACGAUCGGUAGCUGGUCUGAGAGGACGACCAGCCACACUGGGACUGAGACACGGCCCAGACUCCUACGGGAGGCAGCAGUGGGGAAUAUUGGACAAUGGGCGACAGCCUGAUCCAGCAAUUCCGCGUGGGUGAAGAAGGUCUUCGGAUUGUAAAGCUCUUUCGACGGGGACGAUAAUGACGGUACCCGUAGAAGAAGCCCCGGCUAACUUCGUGCCAGCCGCCGCGGUAA
rnacentral:rRNA from 1 species